UACGUAGGGUGCAAGCGUUAAUCGGAAUUACUGGGCGUAAAGCGUGCGCAGGCGGUUGUGCAAGACCGAUGUGAAAUCCCCGGGCUUAACCUGGGAAUGGCAUUUGUGACUGCACGGCUAGAGUGUGUCAGAGGGGGGUAGAAUUCCACGUGUAGCAGUGAAAUGCGUAGAUAUGUGGAGGAAUACCGAUGGCGAAGGCAGCCCCCUGGGAUAACACUGACGCUCAUGCACGAAAGCGUGGGGAGCAAACAGG
rnacentral:rRNA from 1 species